AUUGAACGCUGGCGGCAGGCCUACCACAUGCAAGUCGAACGAGUGGCGGACGGGUGAGUAAUGUCUGGGAAACUGCCUGAUGGAGGGGGAUAACUACUGGAAACGGUAGCUAAUCCCGCAUACCAUCGGAUGUGCCCAGAUUGGAUUAGCUAGUAGGUGGGGUAACGGCUCACCUAGGCGACGAUCCCUAGCUGGUCUGAGAGGAUGACCAGCAACACUGGAACGGAGACACGGGGCAGACGCCUACGGGAGGCAGCAGUGGGGAAUAUUGCGCAAUGGGCGCAAGCAUGAUGCAGCCAUGCCGCGUGUAUGAAGAAGGCCUUCGGGUUGUAAAGUACUUUCAGCGGGGAGGCGUUACCCGAAGAAGAAGCACCGACUAACUCCGUGCAAGCAGCCGCGGUAAUUC
rnacentral:rRNA from 1 species